rnacentral:tmRNA from 1 species
AAAAAAAAACUGGAAACCAAUAAGUGCCGAAUCCAAGCGCACUGACUUCGCUCUCGCUGCCUGAUCAGCGUUAGCAGUCUGGAACCCCGGGCUUGCUCCUGACCCGGAUCGUUCCAUCAUCUAAGGAGCCACUGCUGCCGACCCUCGUCAUCGGGGAAGGAUGAACACUUCAGAGUGACUGAGUCCGUCGACGACGUGUUCGUGCGAGCGUCGGGACUGAGAAAACGAUAAUACGGACUGCGCCCGGAGAAGCUCUUGCUCCGCACUAUCGGACGCGGGUUCGAUUCCCGCCGGC